GCUCAUAUCAGGUUGUAAGUACUUAUUCCCACACGAUCGCCGAAGUUAUGCAACGUCGAGCCUAGCCAGUAACUAGAUGGUUGGCCAUUUGGGAAUACCAGGUGCUGGAU